GCUCGAGUGGCGAACGGGUGAGUAACACGUGAGUAACCUGCCCUUGACUUUGGGAUAACUUCAGGAAACUGGGGCUAAUACCGGAUAGGAGCUCCUGCUGCAUGGUGGGGGUUGGAAAGUUUCGGCGGUUGGGGAUGGACUCGCGGCUUAUCAGCUUGUUGGUGGGGUAGUGACUUACCAAGGCUUUGACGGGUAGCCGGCCUGAGAGGGUGACCGGCCACAUUGGGACUGAGAUACGGCCCAG
rnacentral:rRNA from 1 species